rnacentral:rRNA from 1 species
CCUACGGGCGGCAGCAGUGGGGGAUAUUGCACAAUGGGGGAAACCCUGAUGCAGCGACGCCGCGUGUGGGAAGACGGUCCUCUGGAUUGUAAACCACUGUCCCCAGGGACGAAGAUGACGGUACCUGGGGAGGCAGCUCCGGCUAACUACGUGCCAGCAGCCGCGGUAAUACGUAGGGAGCGAGCGUUGUCCGGAAUUACUGGGUGUAAAGGGAGCGUAGGCGGGACUGCAAGUUGGGUGUCAAAUCUACCGGCUCAACCGGUAGCCGCACUCAAAACUGCAGUUCUUGAGGGAAGUAGAGGCAGGCGGAAUUCCUAGUGUAGCGGUGAAAUGCGUAGAUAUUAGGAGGAACACCAGUGGCGAAGGCGGCCUGCUGGGCUUUGACUGACGCUGAGGCUCGAAAGUGUGGGGAGCAAACAGGAUUAGAUACCCCUGUAGUC